AAGCGAGCCCGCGAGGGGGAGCGAAUCCCAAAAAUAACGUCCCAGUUCGGAUUGUAGUCUGCAACCCGACUACAUGAAGCUGGAAUCGCUAGUAAUCGCGGAUCAGAAUGCCGCGGUGAAUACGUUCCCGGGUCUUGUACACACCGCCCGUCACACCAUGGGAGUCGGAGAUGCCCGAAGUCUGUGACCCAACCUACGGGAGGGAGCAGCCGAAGGCAGGUCGGAUGACUGGGGUGAAGUCGUAACAAGGUAAC
rnacentral:rRNA from 1 species